rnacentral:rRNA from 1 species
CCUACGGGUGGCAGCAGUGGGGAAUAUUGCACAAUGGGGGAAACCCUGAUGCAGCGACGCCGCGUGAGUGAAGAAGUAUCUCGGUACGUAAAGCUCUAUUAGCAGGGAAGAAAAUGACGGUACCUGACUAAGAAGCCCCGGCUAACUACGUGCCAGCAGCCGCGGUAAUACGUAGGGGGCAAGCGUUAUCCGGAUUUACUGGGUGUAAAGGGAGCGUAGACGGGAGCACAAGUCUGGAGUGAAAUCCCGGGGCUUAACCGCGGAACUGCUGUUGAAACUGUGCGGCUGGAGUGCAGGAGGGGUAGGCGGAAUUCCUAGUGUAGCGGUGAAAUGCGUAGAUAUUAGGAGGAACACCGGUGGCGAAGGCGGCUUACUGGACUGUAACUGACGUUGAGGCUCGAAAGCGUGGGGAGCAAACAGGAUUAGAUACCCCUGUAGUC